CCUUGAUGAGUUUUUAAUGUAACUGUGUAAAUGGCACAUUGUAGUCAUUUAAAACAGGGGGCAGGGGGUUGAAAAGAUGAUUGGCGUUGUUUUUUUAAGAAAUUGGUUAUAUAACUAGAACACUUAAUGAAUUAAUUUAAUCAGGCAUGAUUGUUGAUUUUAUAGAACACGCCGUCCUUGGUUGGUUACAAAAGGAAGUGUCUGAAAACCAUCAUAACACACGCCUGCGUGUGCUCACUAACACACCCACAGGAACCUUCACCUACAGAAAGCCACCUUUAAAAAAGAAUGUCACAUUUUGUAGAUACUGACAUGAAUGUAAGCUGACUUGUUCAAUUGAUAACACAAUGGACUUUGGUGUCUCUCUGCAGGAGGUGUUGCUGGAAAGGGCUGUGACUUGUUCCUAGUCGGAUAUAAAGCAUACUGAACGAGUGAGCAGCAUGUACCGGACACACACAGGGCUGUUGGUUGUCUGGAGCCCAGGAAUUAAUCCAUGUGUCAGUAGGAGUUCAUAAGGGCUUAGAGGCGGGAUACUGCCUAUUUACAGUAGGCAGAGCUCUAAUGUCCUAAAAGAGUUGGUGUGGCAUACAGUAAUGUUCUUCUGCAUAGGAACACGUGUGGGCCACACCAAAGCCAUGUGAUUAUGUGGUGAUGAUGUUCAUUCAUGUGGAAUGUUGACAGAGAAUGAAUAUUAAAUGCAUUUUGUGACUUUUAACUGCAUUAAGUUGUGGUGGAAAGAGGUUUGUUUUUUACUGGCAUCAGUCAGAUGCACUUACAAGGAUUUGAAAACUCUAUAAAUGUUGCUAAUUCCCACUCCAAACUCCAUUUUGAUUUUUUUUUUUUUUCUCAGCCCAUGACCAAACUUUUUCAACAUUGCCACUAACUUUUCUCCAAACUGCCCAACUGGAAAGCUGUUGUUGGUAUCUGAUUAUUUUCAACGUUCAUUCAGAAUGUCAGCAUCUUCACCUUGAGUCUACUAAAAAGUACAGCUCAUAUUAACAGAUUCCAUUAUUGUAUUAUACCGUCUUUGUGGUCUCGCUGCUACAGUAUCCACAAUCCAUCCAUUCUACCCUUUCCGCACUUUAAUGUUAAACAAAGUUGCCAAACAUGUGCUCUGUUAUGAAUAUGCAAUUUGCAGAUAAACAUUAAUAAAUAUUAAGAAACGUCA